rnacentral:rRNA from 1 species
GGACUACUGGGGUAUCUAAUCCUGUUUGCUCCCCACGCUGUCGCGCCUCAGUGUCAGAACUGGUCUAGCUGGCCGCCUUCGCCACGAGUGUUCUCCCCCAUCUCUACGCAUUUCACCGCUACACGGGGAAUUCCACCAGCCCCUCCCAGCCUCAAGUCCUGCAGUUUCUACCGACGGAAUACGGUUGAGCCGUAUGAUUUCACGGUAGACAUACAAGACCACCUACACGCCCUUUACGCCCAAUGAUUCCGAACAACGCUUGCCCCUUCCGUAUUACCGCGGCGGCUGGCAC